CUCCCCGAUUUAUUCGGCUCCCGACCCGGAGAGACGACCAUGGCGGAGCCUAAGUCUCGCCGGCCAUGGCGUCUCGGUGGCUGCGCUCGACGGAGCAGCGUGCAGCGGACCGAGUCCCGCGCGCUCCUCCGCCGAGCGUCGUUACUCGCGGCGCACAAAAGGCGCAAAGCGGCGAUGGCAGGUUCGUUUGCACCGGCGGCGGAGCAUGUGGCUGACGACCACGUGGGAGGUGCUUCACACGUGCACGUCCGUAAGUGUGCCGCCGGCUACCUUCUUCUCGCGCGUCGUCCAGAGAUGACGGCGUCGCGAUGAUGAUGCCCACGCACGGCGGCGGCUGUGCUGGAUCCCGACGCGGCGUCAUCAAGGCACAGCGUGGCCCAUGAUCUCCAGUGGCGAGGAUGAGCAACAGCAGUGGCGCCGCGGUGAUGUAAUUGUGGAGAGGCAGCCGCUCAUCCAGGAGCUUCGCCGGUGGCAGCAGGAAGCCGCCGGCACAGCCCUGCGGCGGCCGGCGGUGAAGAUGGCCUUCUGAUCCGCGUUAGCACCCUUUUAGGAUCGGUUGUUAGGAGUCGUGGUUUUUUGGUACGUGUGUGUCAGAGCCCUUGAUGGGUACGACUUCCUCCUUUUAUAUGUGGCGCUAGGUGGAUCAGGGACCAAAAUCAAAAGUCGGUUAUGGGUGCA